UCCACGCCGUAAACGAUGAUCACUCGAUGUUGGCGAUAGACAGUCAGCGUCCAAGCGAAAGUAUUAAGUGAUCCACCUGGGGAGUACGAUCGCAAGGUUGAAACUCAAAGGAAUUGACGGGGGCCCGCACAAGCGGAGGAGCAUGUGGUUUAAUUCGAUGAUACGCGAGGAACCUUACCUAGACUUAAAUGUAGAUUGCAUAGAGUAGAAAUAUUCUUUUCCUUCGGGACUAU
rnacentral:rRNA from 1 species